rnacentral:rRNA from 1 species
CCUACGGGUGGCAGCAGUGGGGAAUAUUGGGCAAUGGGCGCAAGCCUGACCCAGCAACGCCGCGUGAAGGAAGAAGGCUUUCGGGUUGUAAACUUCUUUUCUCAGGGACGAAGAAAGUGACGGUACCUGAGGAAUAAGCCACGGCUACCUACGUGCCAGCAGCCGCGGUAAUACGUAGGUGGCAAGCGUGAUCCGGAUUUAUUGGGUGUAAAGGGCGUGUAGGCGGGAGCGCAAGUCAGAUGUGAAAACUCAGGGCUCAACCCUGAGCCUGCAUUUGAAACUGUGUUUCUUGAGUGCUGGAGAGGCAAUCGGAAUUCCGGGUGUAGCGGUGAAAUGCGUAGAUAUACGGAGGAACACCAGUGGCGAAGGCAGCUUACCAAGCUACUUCUGACGUUGAGGCACGAAAGCGUGGGGAGCAAACAGGAUUAGAUACCCUGGUAGUC